UAGGUUAGUCACAUUAUUGGCAAAAUGACACUGUAACUUCGGUUGAAGGGGUGCUCUCCUAUCUUUUGAUUAGGAAAGGGACACAUUACUUUUCUAGCCCUUCUAUCUUUUGAUUAGGAAAGCGACACAUUACUUUUUUUUAUUAAAAACACAUGACUCUGCUAAGUGGUAACACGAUGAAUAGAGUCGGACAACUGCCCGGUGCCGGAAGGUCAGAAGGAGAAGUGUGGUAAGCUUUGAAUGGAAGCCCCGGUAAACGGUGACAGUAACUAACUGUCCUAAGGUAGCGAAAUUCCUUGUUGCAUAAGUAGUGACCUAUCAUCAGGGACGAGGUCCCCUUUAUAGGCAUAGAGAAGAGAAACGUA
rnacentral:ncRNA from 1 species